UGCUGCAUGGCUGUCGUCAGCUCGUGUUGUGAAAUGUUGGGUUAAGUCCCGCAACGAGCGCAACCCUUAUCCUUUGUUGCCAGCGGUCCGGCCGGGAACUCAAAGGAGACUGCCAGUGAUAAACUGGAGGAAGGUGGGGAUGACGUCAAGUCAUCAUGGCCCUUACGACCAGGGCUACACACGUGCUACAAUGGCGCAUACAAAGAGAAGCGACCUCGCGAGAGCAAGCGGACCUCAUAAAGUGCGUCGUAGUCCGGAUUGGAGUCUGCAACUCGACUCCAUGAAGUCGGAAUCGCUAGUAAUCGUGGAUCAAAAUGCCACGGUGAAUACGUUCCCGGGCCUUGUACACACCGCCCGUCACACCAUGGGAGUGGGUUGCAAAAGAAGUAGGUAGCUUAACCUUCGGGAGGGCGCUUACCACUUUGUGAUUCAUGACUGGGGUGAAGUCGUAACAAGGUAACCGUAGGGGAACCUGCGGUUGGAUCACCUC
rnacentral:rRNA from 1 species